rnacentral:rRNA from 1 species
GGGUAACCUGCCCUGUACACACGGAUAACAUACCGAAAGGUAUACUAAUACGGGAUAACAUACGAAAGUCGCAUGGCUUUUGUAUCAAAGCUCCGGCGGUACAGGAUGGACCCGCGUCUGAUUAGCUAGUUGGUAAGGUAAUGGCUUACCAAGGCAACGAUCAGUAGCCGACCUGAGAGGGUGAUCGGCCACACUGGAACUGAGACACGGUCCAGACUCCUACGGGAGGCAGCAGUGGGGAAUAUUGCACAAUGGGCGAAAGCCUGAUGCAGCAACGCCGCGUGAGCGAUGAAGGCCUUCGGGUCGUAAAGCUCUGUCCUCAAGGAAGAUAAUGACGGUACUUGAGGAGGAAGCCCCGGCUAACUACGUGCCAGCAGCCGCGGUAAUACAUAGGGGGCUAGCGUUAUCCGGAAUUACUGGGCGUAAAGGAUGCGUAGGUGGUUUUUUAAGUCAGAAUUGAAAACAACCGCUCCACCGCAUCA